AUACUUACCUGGGCAGGGUCAAUGGGUGAUCCAUAAGACCCAUGGCCUAGUUUGGUGACCUCCAUUGCACUUUGGAGGGGCUUUCAACUAAGGUCGGCCCAAGUGGUCGAGCCUGUGCCAUAAUUUGUGUUAGUGGGGCCCUGCGUUCGCGCGGCCCCUAU